GGAGGGGACAGCUCAGUGGUAGAGUGUGCACUUAGCAUGCACAAGGUCCUGGGUUCAAUCCCCAGUACCUCCA
rfam:Camelus ferus unplaced genomic scaffold scaffold1951, whole genome shotgun sequence.